UCUGCCAUGCCUACUGCUGGAACCUGCCGCUUUCCUGUUCCAAAGCCAUCACGCGGUCAUCCUGCUACUGGACCCCAAGAUUAUUUGCCAUUCUUCUCUUCCAGGUUUCCAAAAUGCCUUUCCAGGCUAGAACCCAGGCUGUGAUCUGCUGGCCAGACACAACAUUUGGUGCCUAAUUGGGGCUGAGAAACGGCAAAGGACUUUUGGAAGAGGCACUGCUGGUUUAGAGCUCCAUAGAAGAAGAAAAUAAUUAAAGGAAAUUCAUACCAGAAAAGGUUUCCAAAAUGCCUUUCCAGGCUAGAACCCAGGCUGUGAUCUGCUGGCCAGACACAACAUUUGGUGCCUAACGUGGGGCUGAGAAACAGCAAAGGACUUUUGGAAGAGGCACUGCUGGUUUAGAGCUCCAU
rnacentral:lncRNA from 1 species